rnacentral:rRNA from 1 species
CUGCUUCUACUUUCUGUAUGGAGCUGGGAGUGUCUGCCUGUUGGACGCCCGAAGAGCGUCAGGUUUGAUCCUUGGUAUGCAGAUGAACAUGAAAUUACGGCGCCCACGUGGGCUUACAAGUGGGAUAUCGUUUCCGAGAUGACGAAUGAUGUCAAUCUCAUGUACCAAAAGUACAUUGCCGAGUUGGACACGAUUACGCCUGAGCAGGUAAGGAGGUCAUUACUUCAGUCCUUUCUCAUGCUUGCUUGA